ACGGCUGCCUGGCAAUGGCAGGAACUUCCCAGAUGGCGAGGCGGCCCUCCUUGGUGCUCCAUGUUGAUCCACCCUGCCGGGCAUCUGAGAGCUAAGUCGAAGGCUAUGAAUUGCAGAGGGGACGAAAGCGUGACCUGGGAUUAUGGAGUCAGCUUUGGGGACGGGGAGGUCCAGGCUGUGGCCCCUUAGGCCACGUGAAGGGAGAGCCUCACUUUUGUUCACAGUGCUGAGGUGCGCAGGACAGAGCAGUCCCGGGGCGUGUCGUAUCACUUGUCCGUCGUGCCUUCUGUGUCUUUUGUGCCUCUCCUGUUGUAUGUGCCUUGCCUUAUCUCUUCCGGGGGCUUACCAGAAACCCCGGUGUCACUCGUAGCAUCUCUGAUCUCUGGGCUCCUCAGCCCGACACCAUCGAAGCUUUGCCUCAGGAGCUCUCAGAGGCCUUGGAAUCGCGUCCGUUUUGAAAAGCAUCCGAUCGGAUGUCUUUUAGAGGUCUUGUUCCGAGCUGUGUCAACAGCCGUGCGCCGCGAGGAUUCAUUGCUGCGGCUUAGGUCUUGAAGAAACGCAAAGAUGGGUAGGGGACUGUGGCCCUCAGAUUCUCGGGCAUCCGUCUUGGCAGUUGCUGGAGUUUGUCAUUCCAUCAGCAUCUUCUUCCUCCCGGGUUCUGCGAGCUUCAUCAGCUCGCCUUCAUUCUCACCCGGCUCAUCUCGUUCCGCGUUCUCUCGGUCCUUGCGGCCAUUCUUGUGGCCCAGAGUUUUGUCUCCCCAUUGUGUCCCCUCGUCUGUUGUCUUGUGUGUCACGGGUGUCUGGGUGUAGUUGUCCCGGAGCUGCUCUGUCCUGCUGCCCAGCCUGGGUGUAGGUGUAAAAGGCCGAGUCCCAGGCCCCUGUAAUUUGAAAUUUGUGAUGUAGGGUGUAGUUGGAGUCCAGAGGGUGUUCCUAGACGGACACAAGGUGGCUGGAGCUGUGAAGUUACCCUGCAGCACUUUGACUUUUGUCUCAGCUUUCUUUCAGAUGCGGACGGAUGAAAUCGGUGGCAGAGCGCCCCAUCCAGGGUAAGGGGGUUCCCGCGAGAAGGAAGUAGAGCCGGCUAGCAGCAGUCAAGGCGAAGUGGGCAAGGCGGUCCAGUCACAUUUCGCCGAGAUCCCCUCGCCAACCGGCCGGCACAGCUGUUUCACCGCUCCCGUGAGCCCUGGGGAAGCGUUACGGGACCGUGAGACGGAGCCUUUUCCACGUAAAGGGGCCGUGUGGGUGGCCUUCAGGAACGGGCCAAGGGGUUGCCGCGCGCCCUGCGAUGACGGCGUCCGGCUCCCGGCGUGACCGAAGCGCGCGGCCUCAGGACGUGGCCGUUCGCAGGAGACCCUCACCGAGAGACGGCUGCCUGGCGAUGGCAGGAACUUCCCAGAUGGCGAGGCGGCCCUCCUUGGUGCUCCAUGUUGAUCCACCCUGCCGGGCAUCUGAGCGCUAAGUCGAAGGCUAUGAAUUGCAGAGGGGACGAAAGCGUGACCUGGGAUUAUGGAGUCAGCUUUGGGGACGGGGAGGUCCAGGCUGUGGCCCCUUAAGCCACGUGAAGGGAGAGCCUCACUUUUGUUCACAGUGCUGAGGUGCGCAGGACAGAGCAGUCCCGGGGCGUGUCGUAUCACUUGUCCGUCGUGCCUUCUGUGUCUUUUGUGCCUCUCCUGUUGUAUGUGCCUUGCCUUAUCUCUUCCGGGGGCUUACCAGAAACCCCGGUGUCACUCGUAGCAUCUCUGAUCUCUGGGCUCCUCAGCCCGACACCAUCGAAGCUUUGCCUCAGGAGUUCUCAGAGGCCUUGGAAUCGCGUCCGUUUUGAAAAGCAUCCGAUCGGAUGUCUUUUAGAGGUCUUGUUCUGAGCUGUGUCAACAGCCGUGCGCCGCGAGGAUCCAUUGCUGCGGCUUAGGUCUUGAAGAAACGCAGAGAUAGGUAGGGGGCUGUGGCCCUCAGAUUCUCGGGCAUCCGUCUUGGCAGUUGCUGGAGUUUGUCAUUCCAUCAGCAUCUUCUUCCUCCCGGGUUCUGCGAGCUUCAUCAGCUCGCCUUCAUUCUCACCCGGCUCAUCUCGUUCCGCGUUCUCUCGGUCCUUGCGGCCGUUCUUGUGGCCCAGAGUUUUGUCUCCCCAUUGUGUCCCCUCGUCUGUUGUCUUGUGUGUCACGGGUGUCUGGGUGUAGUUGUCCCGGAGCUGCUCUGUCCUGCUGCCCAGCCUGGGUGUAGGUGUAAAAGGCCGAGUCCCAGGCCCCUGUAAUUUGAAAUUUGUGAUGUAGGGUGUAGUUGGAGUCUAGCGGGUGUUCCUAGAUUGACACAAGAUGUGUGGAGCUGUGAAGUUACCCUGCAGCACUUUGACUUUUGUCUCAGCUUUCUUUCAGAUGCGGACGGAUGAAAUCGGUGGCAGAGCGCCCCAUCCAGGGUAAGGGGGUUCCCGCGAGAAGGAAGUAGAGCCAGCUGGCAGCAGUCAAGGUAAAGUGGGCAAGGCGGUCCAGUCGCGUUUCGCUGAGACGUCCUUGCCAACCGGCCGGCACAGCUGUUUCACCGCUCCCGUGAGCCCUGGGGAAGCGUUACGGGACCGUGAGACGGAGCCUUUUCCACGUAAAGGGGCCGUGUGGGUGGCCUUCAGGAACGGGCCAAGGGGUUGCCGCGCGCCCUGUGACGACGGCGUCCAGCUCCCAGUGUGGCCGAAGCGCGCGGCCUCAGGAUGUGGCCGUGCGCAGGAGACCCUGACCGAGAGAUGGCAGCCUGGCGAUGGCAGGAACUUCCCAGAUGGCGAGGCGGCCUUCCUUGGUGCUCCAUGUGGAUCCUCCCCGCUGGGCAUCCGAGAGCUGAGUCGGAGGCUGCGAAUUGCAGAGGGGCUGAAAUCGGGGUGCCGGGUCGGGAUUCUGGACCUGGGGUUAUGGAGUCAGCUUUGGGGACGGGGAGGUCCAGGCUGUGGCCCCUUAGGCCACGUGAAGGGAGAGCCUCACAUUUGUUCACAGUGCUGAGGUGCACAGGACAGAGCAGUCCCGGGGCGUGUCGUAUCACUUGUCCGUCGUGCCUUCUGUGUCUUUUGUGCCUCUCCUGUUGUACGUGCCUUGCCUUAUCUCUUCUGGGGGCUUACCAGAAACCCCGGCAUCACUCCUCGCAUCUCUGAUCUCUGGGCUCCUCAGCCCGACACCAUCGAAGCUUUGCCUCGGGAGCCCUCAGAGGCCUUGGAAUCGCGUCUCUCUUUUAAAAGCAUCCGAUCGGAUGUCUUUUAGAGGUCUUGUUCUGAGCUGUGUCAACAGCCGUGCGCCGCGAGGAUCCAUUGUUGCGGCUUAGGACUUGAAGAAACGCAGAGAUAGGUAGGGGGCUUUGGCCCUCAGAUUCUCGGGCAUCCGUCUUGGCAGUUCCUGGAGUUUGUCAUUCCAUCAGCAUCUUCUUCCUCCCGGGUUCUGCGAGCUUCAUCAGCUCACCUUCAUUCUCACCCGGCUCAUCUUGUUCCGCGUUCUCUCGGUCCUUGCGGCCGUUCUUGUGGCCCAGAGUUUUGUCUCCCCAUUGUGUCCCCUCGUCUGUUGUCUUGUGUGUCACGGGUGUCUGGGUGUAGUUGUCCCGGAGCUGCUCUGUCCUGCUGCCCAGCCUGGGUGUAGGUGUAAAAGGCCAAGUCCCAGGCCCCUGUAAUUUGAAAUUUGUGAUGUAGGGUGUAGUUGGAGUCUAGAGGGUGUUCCUAGAUUGACACAAGAUGUGUGGAGCUGUGAAGUUACUCUGCAGCACUUUGACUUUUGUCUCAGCUUUCUUUCAGAUGCGGACGGAUGAAAUUGGUGGCAGAGCGCCCCAUCCAGGGUAAGGGGGUUCCCGCGAGAAGGUAAGUCAAUGUUUGUCUUUGCAGGGCAACUGGAACCGGUCACUGUGUGACAGGUCUCCUCUUUGUCUUUAUUUUUAGGAAGUAGAGCCAGCUAGCAGCAGUCAAGGCGAAGUGGGCAAGGCGGUCCAGUCACAUUUCGCCGAGAUCCCCUCGCCAACCGGCCGGCACAGCUGCUUCACCGCUCCCGUGAGCCCUGCGGAAGCGUUAUGGAACUGUGUGACGGAGCCUUUUCCACGUAAAAGGGUCGUGUUUGUGGCCUUCAGGAACGGGCCGAUGGGUUGCCGCGCACCCUGCGACGACGGCGUCCGGCUCCCGGCGCGGCCGAAGUGUGCGGCCUCAGGACGUGGCCGUUCGCAGGAGACCCUGACCGAGCGACGGCAGCCUGGCGAUGGCAGGAACUUCCCGGAUGGCGAGACGGCCUUCCGUGGCGCUCCGUGUGGAUCCUCCUCAUCGGGCAUCCAGGAGCUGAGUCGGAGGCUAUGACCCGCAGAGGGGCUGAAAGCGGUGUGCUGGGUCGGGACUCUGGACCUGGGAUUAUGGAGUCAGCUUUGGGGACGGGGAGGUCCAGGCUGUGGCUCCUUAGGCCACACAGUGCGAGAGCCUCACUUUUGUUCACAGUGCUGAGGUGUGCAGGACAGAGCAGUCCCGGGGCGUGUCCCAUCACUUGUCCAUCGUGCCUUCUGUGUCUUUUGUGCUCCUUGUGUUGUACAUGCCUUGCCUUAUCUCUUCUGGGGGCUUACUAGAAACCCCGGCGUCACUCCUCGCAUCUCUGAUGUCUGGGUUCCUCGGCCCAGCGCUGGCGCCAUCGAAGCUUUGCCUCAGGAGGUCUCAGAGGCCUUGGAAUCGCGUCUCUCUUGAAAAGCAUCCGAUCGGAUGUCUUUUAGAGGUCUUGUUCCGAGCUGUGUCGACAGUCGUGUGCCGCGAGGAUCCAUUGUUGCGGCUUAGGUCUUGAAGAAGCGCAGAGAUAGGUAGGGGACUGUAGCCCUAAAAUUCUCGGGCAUCCGUCUUGGCAGUUGCUGGAGUUUGUCAUUCCAUCAGCAUCUUCUUCCCCCCCGGGUUCUGCGAGCUUCAUCAGCUCACCUUCAUUCUCACCCGGCUCAUCUCGUUCCGCGUUCUCUCGGUCCUUGCGGCCAUUCUUGUGGCCCAGAGUUUUGUCUCCCCAUUGUGUCCCCUCGUCUGUUGUCUUGUGUGUCACGGGUGUCUGGGUGUAGUUGUCCCGGAGCUGCUCUGUCCUGCUGCCCAGCCUGGGUGUAGGUGUAAAAGGCCGAGUCCCAGGCCCCUGUAAUUUGAAAUUUGUGAUGUAGGGUGUAGUUGGAGUCUAGCGGUUGUUCCUAGAUCCUCACAAGAUGUCUGGAGCUGUGAAGUUAUCCUGCAGCACCUUGACUUUUGUCUUAGCUUUCUAAGCAUUGCAUUAUUUGCUGCCCAAUGUGGGGUUCAAAAGAGUAAGAAAAACCUAUACUGAUUACGUUAUAUUGGUACUUCUGUGUGUUGGGGUAAAGGACUUUGUAAUGGUGUUCCUUAAGUUCACGUCUCUCAGGGUUGAGCCCAUCAUGUAGUUCUAGUCUCUGAGCUUUUUUUCAAGUUUUAAUGCCUUUCUUGUCCCUAAGUUUAUUUUUUUAUCCAAAAAUAACUCAAAUAUUGUCCCUAAUACAUAACUUUUACGCAGUAAAAGGGCACAGAUUAAAAUAGCUGUUAUGCUAAGCUGAGUAAUAAUGAUUGAUAAAAACUUUAUAAAAGUACUGAAGUUUGUACCAAGUAGCUUUAGUUUUUAGUUUCUUUGUCCUCCCCUACAUACCAAUCCCAGUAACAUGUUUUAGAAGUGUAUUAGUAAUUAUACCCAGUUUAUUAGAAGAGCAGCAACAAACCCCACUGCACUCUUUUUACUAAUAAUUCAUACCACAUCAUAAAAGUAAAACAAAAGACAGAAAAAUAUAUUAAACUUAACACAACCCAAUCUACUUAAAAAAACUUAACAAGUUACUAAACUCAAAACCAUUCAAUGAGCCCUAAACAUAACUAAAAAAAACCUAACCCAAUUGCUACC